AACAACUAAUAAUUCGACAGUUGGAAUGAAAGCCGUCAUGUUGGCUGAAACAACUGGUUUGAUACUCCUGCAUGCGUUUGAGUGUAACAGCACUCAAGGGUAUGAAGCCAGGUAAAGUCGGCAGAACUGCUCCUAAGUGAAGUAGCUAAUUCAUACGGAAAAGGAUAUGCCGGAACGCCAUAAA
rnacentral:ncRNA from 1 species